rnacentral:rRNA from 1 species
AUUGGGUAGGGGAGCGUUCUGUAAGCCGUUGAAGGUGCAUUGUAAAGUGUGCUGGAGGUAUCAGAAGUGCGAAUGCUGACAUGAGUAACGAUAAAGGGAGUGAAAAACUCCCUCGCCGGAAGAUCAAGGGUUCCUGUCCAACGUUAAUCGGGGCAGGGUAAGUCGACCCCUAAGGCGAGGCCGAAAGGCGUAGUCGAUGGGAAACGGGUUAAUAUUCCCGUACUUCUUAUAAUUGCGAUGGAGGGACGGAGAAGGCUAGGUGAGCCUGGCGACGGUUGUCCAGGUCCAAGUAUGUAGGCUGAUGGUUUAGGCAAAUCCGGACCAUCUUAAGGCUGAGAUACGAUGUCGAGCUACUACGGUAGUGAAGUCAUUGAUGCCAUGCUUCCGGGAAAAGCUUCUAAGCGUCAGAUUAUAAGAAAUCGUACCCCAAACCGACACAGGUGAUCAGGUAGAGAAUACCAAGGCGCUUGAGAGAACUCGGGUGAAGGAACUAGGCAAAAUGGUACCGUAACUUCGGGAGAAGGUACGCUCCUAGCGGUGAUGAGACUUGCUCUCUAAGCUGCCGGGAGUCGCAGAUACCAGGUGGCUGCAACUGUUUAUUAAAAACACAGCACUGUGCAAAAUCGAAAGAUGACGUAUACGGUGUGACGCCUGCCCGGUGCCGGAAGGUUAAUUGAUGGGGUUAGACUUCGGUCGAAGCUCUUGAUCGAAGCCCCGGUAAACGGCGGCCGUAACUAUAACGGUCCUAAGGUAGCGAAAUUCCUUGUCGGGUAAGUUCCGACCUGCACGAAUGGCGUAAUGAUGGCCACGCUGUCUCCACCCGAGACUCAGUGAAAUUGAAAUCGCAGUGAAGAUGCUGUGUACCCGCGGCUAGACGGAAAGACCCCGUGAACCUUUACUAUAGCUUGGCACUGAACAUUGACCCUACAUGUGUAGGAUAGGUGGGAGACGUUGAAGCAACCGCGCCAGUGGUUGUGGAGUCAAUCUUGAAAUACCACCCUUGUAUGCUUGAUGUUCUAACGUUGGCCCCUUAUCGGGGUUACGGACAGUGCCUGGUGGGUAGUUUGACUGGGGCGGUCUCCUCCCAAAGAGUAACGGAGGAGCACGAAGGUGGGCUAAUCACGGUCGGACAUCGUGAGGUUAGUGCAAUGGCAUAAGCCCGCUUGACUGCGAGAAUGACAAUUCGAGCAGGUGCGAAAGCAGGUCAUAGUGAUCCGGUGGUUCUGAAUGGAAGGGCCAUCGCUCAACGGAUAAAAGGUACUCCGGGGAUAACAGGCUGAUACCGCCCAAGAGUUCAUAUCGACGGCGGUGUUUGGCACCUCGAUGUCGGCUCAUCACAUCCUGGGGCUGAAGUCGGUCCCAAGGGUAUGGCUGUUCGCCAUUUAAAGUGGUACGCGAGCUGGGUUUAGAACGUCGUGAGACAGUUCGGUCCCUAUCUGCCGUGGGCGUUGGAUGAUUGAGAGGGGCUGCUCCUAGUACGAGAGGACCGGAGUGGACGAACCGCUGGUGUUCGGGUUGUAUCGCCAGAUGCAUUGCCCGGUAGCUAAGUUCGGAAUCGAUAACCGCUGAAAGCAUCUAAGCGGGAAGCGAGCCUCAAGAUGAGUCAUCCCUAGACCUUUAAGGUCUCUAAAGGGUUGUUGAAGACUACAACGUUGAUAGGUCAGGUGUGUAAGUGCUGCGAGGCAUUGAGCUAACUGAUACUAAUUGCCCGUGAGGCUUAACCAUACAACACCCAAGGGGUUU